rnacentral:misc_RNA from 1 species
AAGUCGUAACAAGGUUUCCGUAGGUGAACCUGCGGAAGGAUCAUUACAAAUCCAAACAAAUACCCGUUGAAAUGUUUUCGGCCUUGGGCAAAGCUAUCUUCAUGAUCCAGAUGGAUUGCAUAAAUCUAUCUGUGAAAUGGAGAGGCAAUGUAAACGCGUUAUCGUGUUAAACCAAGGUACCGACCUACUAAAUACUUAUUAUGUUGACAUAUCUGUAAAAUGCUUUCUUAUCGGAAACGAAAAGGAGCAAUUUAAACAAAUACAACUUUUAACAAUGGAUCUCUAGGCUCUU